CUGAGGGGGGCUGCUCCUAGUACGAGAGGACCGGAGUGGACGCAUCACUGGUGUUCGGGUUGUCAUGCCAAUGGCACUGCCCGGUAGCUAAAUGCGGAAGAGAUAAGUGCUGAAAGCAUCUAAGCACGAAACUUGCCCCGAGAUGAGUUCUCCCUGACUCCCUGAGAGUCCUGAAGGAACGUUGAAGACGACGACGUUGAUAGGCCGGGUGUGUAAGCGCAGCGAUGCGUUGAGCUAACCGGUACUAAUGAACCGUGAGGCUUAACCUU
rnacentral:rRNA from 1 species